ACAGAGCGACAAGGAUGAGUUCAC
rnacentral:siRNA from 1 species